GGGUCUGCGUGCGGGCCGGGCCAGCCCCUGACGUGCGCUCCGCCCCUGCCCCAGCACCCUGGAGGGCGGCCCCUCAGCCCGCAGGCAGCGGUCGCAGCGGGACCUCAACCCAGAACCUGAGCCAGAAUCGGAGGAGCCGGACGGAGGCUUUAGGAAGGUGCGAUCCCACCCCUCUGUCGGGGCUUCGCCUGCUGGGUGCCCACCUGCUGGCUUCCCUGCCCCCCAGCAUCGCCCCCAUCCUCCGCCUGACCCUCCUCCACCUGACCCCCAGCUGUAUGCAGAGCUGCGCAGGGAGAAUGAGCGGCUUCGCGAGGCCCUGACCGAGACCACGCUGCGGCUGGCGCAGCUCAAGGUGGAGCUGGAGCGGGCCACGCAGAGGCAAGAACGCUUCGCUGAGAGGCCAGCCCUUCUGGAACUGGAGAGAUUCGAGCGCAGGGCCCUGGAACGCAAGGCCGCAGAGCUGGAGGAGGAGCUGAAGGCCCUGUCUGACCUCCGCGCUGACAACCAGCGCCUCAAGGAUGAGAAUGCAGCGUUGAUCCGCGUCAUCAGCAAACUCUCCAAGUGACCCGGAGGGCCUUUCCCGCACCCGUAUUUAUACAGCUGCUUCUGCCACACGCACCCCUUCCCCCGUGUGAACACGAGUGACAGGGCUCCGGGGGAAGUCUCAGAGAAGCCAUAGCCCCCCGGGACCUCCGGACUGGGAGGGGAGCAGAGUCCCCAGGAGCCAAGGGGGCCACCGAGGCCAGGAUGGAGGUGGGAGGCCGAGCCAAGUAGGGGGACGUUGCCAGAGGGGACCAGGGCCAGAGACGGGACCAGGAAGGAACUGA
rnacentral:sRNA from 1 species